GGGUCCUUAGCUCAGCUGGGAGAGCGCCUGCUUCGCAUGCAGGAGGUCGUCGGUUCAAAUCCGGUAGGAUCCA
rnacentral:tRNA from 3 species